GGCAAUGGUGGAACUUGACAAUUUGAGAUAAGUCAGAAUCCCGAGGGGUAAGACCAAUCUGGCCUUUAGGGAGAUCGGAAGUCAUUUUCAGCAAGCAGGAGGUGGGCACUGCUUUAGCUGCAAGGGCUCGGCUGCUGGGAAGCCUGACUUCCUGGGCCUGCUCCCUCCUAGGGACACUUCAGUCAAUAAAGGGACCAGUCUGGAGUAAUUGCAGAUGUGCUUGGCUCUAAUCAUAAUAAUCAGUGUGAAACCUUGAUCCAGCCUGUGUCGAAGGCAAUGCAGUUUUCUUUUCCUUCUCCAGGGAGCAGAUGGGAAUUAUUACAACACAAAGAGCCGAAGGAAGAAGAAAGCCUGAGGUUUUGCUGUCCCUGCAACACUGGACACCUGUCCCCAGAGCAGCGGGACAGCACAGGUGCCGUGGAGGGUCCACCAAAGUCUUGGGAGCCAAAGGACUCAAGCAGAUGGUGGCACUAAGGCUGUGGAGUAAAAGGUGAGUGUAAAUGCUGCAGUGAAGUCCUCUGGACACCCAAGGACAUUCAGGAUACACCUAACCAUUACUUCCUGCCACUUGUUUCUUCAAUUUAUGAUAUGGAGGCAUUUCUGGAGUAAAGAGGGAGACUUUCAAAACCUCACUUUACUGAAACUAAUAUUUUUAGCACCUCGUCAGUCAAUAUUGUCAAGAUAUUAAAAUUACACUAACAGUUCUUGAAGCAGACAUUUCUGAACCUCGCUCUCAAAAGGCAGAGUGUGACAAAGAAGGUGGAUAUGCUUCUAACACGGGAGCACUGCAGGGGACGGAGUUGGCCCAGGUGAGGUGGGAGGCAGUAACUGUACCUGCAGGUGUUAACCUGAGCCCACAUCAAGAGGCCACACUGACUUGCUGAAAUUUAGGACUAAAUCUGCUCAAACUGCAGCCAAUUAUUGUCUUUUUGCUCCUAUAUUCACUUAUCUAACUCCUACUCCAGUUUGUCAGUACCUCCUUUAUGAAGGCCUUGGCAAGAAAUAGAUUUUCAGUGAAACUGUUAUUAGCAUCGAUGUCCUGUCUAAUGGGAGAGGAGUGGUGAAGGAGCAGUGGUCAGAGCAGUGCCCCAAUGGAGCAGAUUUAGAUUCCGCUAGGGUGCACCUGGGUACUUGAGCAGGGCCUCAGGCCUGGCCCUUAGGUGCAAAUGGAGGGGUGCAGGUUGCUUAUUGCUAAUUUACCUUCUACUAAAAAUUACUAAGAGUCAAAUCACGUGGAUGGUCACAACCCAUGAUUUUGUAUAGCUCUUCCAGAGCCACUGAGCACCUUCCCUCAUUUAGUCUAGGUUACUGGCUAAGAGCACAGGUUCUGGAGGCAGGUGCCUGCCACAGCUUCACUCUCCGGCUCUCCCAUUGACAGUGAGACCUAUAGCAACGUAUUAGCUUUUCUGUGCUUCAGUUUCCUCCUCUGUAAAUGUGCAAUAAUUUCUGCCUCAUAAGAUGGCUGUGAUGACUCAAU
rnacentral:lncRNA from 1 species